GGCAUGAUGGCCGAGCGGUCUAAGGCGACGCACUCAAGUUUAUGUAAACUUGCCCUUGUUUGGGUGGAAUUGCGUUGGGAUUUAUCCCGCGUGCGUUCAAAUCGCACUCAUGUCA
rfam:Rhizoctonia solani AG-1 IA unplaced genomic scaffold scaffold19, whole genome shotgun sequence.